AUCCUUGCUGUAGCGCAAUGCAUAGCGCGUUGGACUUGUAAUACAAAGGUCGUGGGAUCGAUCUCUAUCUGGGAUG